rnacentral:rRNA from 1 species
AGCGAACGCUGGCGGCAGGCCUAACACAUGCAAGUCGAACGAACCUUUCGGGGUUAGUGGCGGACGGGUGAGUAACACGUGGGAACGUGCCUUUAGGUUCGGAAUAACUCAGGGAAACUUGUGCUAAUACCGAAUGUGCCCUUCGGGGGAAAGAUUUAUCGCCUUUAGAGCGGCCCGCGUCUGAUUAGCUAGUUGGUUGAGGUAAUGGCUCACCAAGGCGUCGAUCAGUAGCUGGGCUGAGAGGAUGAUCAGCCACAUUGGGACUGAGACACGGCCCAAACUCCUACGGGAGGAAGCAGUGGGGAAUCUGGCGCAAUGGGCGAAAGCCUGACGCAGCCAUGCCGCGUGAAUGAUGAAGGUCUUAGGAUUGUAAAAUUCUUUCAACGGGGACGAUAAUGACGGUACCCGGAGAAGAAGCCCCGGCUAACUUCGUG